rnacentral:rRNA from 1 species
GACAGAGGAUGCAAGCGUUAUCCGGAAUGAUUGGGCGUGAAGCGUCUGUAGGUGGCUUUUUAAGUCUGCCGUCAAAUCCCAGGGCUUAACCCUGGACAGGCGGUGGAAACUACCAAGCUGGAGUACGGUAGGGGCAGAGGGAAUUUCCGGUGGAGCGGUGAAAUGCGUAGAGAUCGGAAAGAACACCAACGGCGAAGGCACUCUGCUGGGCCGACACUGACACUGAGAGACGAAAGCUAGGGGAGCAAAUGGG